GGCCACUUGCUGUUUGUCUAUUGGGAAUACCUUUGCUCCUCAACCUGGGAUGGAGGCCAAGAUCAGCCCUGGAGGAACACAGGGUGGUGCAAAAGGGCAGCCUUAGAUAUUU
rnacentral:scRNA from 1 species